CAGGUAUGCUCACAGCAGGGAGUCUGAAGAAAUGGUUCCUCUGUGUAGGGCACACCCAACAGGAAUCUGGGAUCAUUCACAAGGGUCACAAAAGUUGUGGCCUUUCCAUGAACAGAUACCCGAUAGGU